rnacentral:ncRNA from 1 species
CAAAAGUUUGAUCCUGACUUUACUGUUAACUUUAGCCUUACUUACACAUGCAAGUAUCCGCCUCCCUGUGAAAAUGCCCUCAUCUUCCCGCACGGAAAAGAGGAGCCGGUAUCAGGCACACUCACCCGCCCAUGACACCUUGCUCAGCCACACCCCUAAGGGACUCCAGCAGUGAUAAACAUUAAGCUAUGAGUGAAAACUUGACUUAGUUAAGGUUUAGAGGGCCGGUAAAACUCGUGCCAGCCACCGCGGUUAUACGAGUAGACCCAAGUUAAUAGAUUAACGGCGUAAAGCGUGGUUAAGAAAGACCCCCCCCCCCCAAAAAAAUAAAGUUGAACACCCUUAAAGCUGUAAUAUGCACCUAGAGGCACGAAGACCCACUACGAAAGUGACUUUAACCCUUUUGAACCCACGAAAGCUUAGAUACAAACUGGGAUUAGAUACCCCACUAUGCUAGGCCCCAAACAUAGACAAAAUUACUUCUAUCCGCCAGGGUACUACGAGCAUUAGCUUAAAACCCAAAGGACUUGGCGGUGCUUUAUACCCACCUAGAGGAGCCUGUCCUAUAACCGAUAAUCCCCGUUUAACCUCACCUCUCCUUGUUUUCACCGCCUAUAUACCGCCGUCGUCAGCCUACCCUGUGAAGGCUUAACAGAAUGCAAUGUUGGUACAACCCAAAACGUCAGGUCGAGGUGUAGCGAAUGGAGAGGGAAGAGAUGGGCUACAUUUUCUGACCCAGAAAAUUACAGAAGGUAAAAUGAAAUAAACCCGAAGGAGGAUUUAGCAGUAAGCAGAGAAUAGAGUGCUCAGCUGAAACUGGUCAUAAAGCGCGCACACACCGCCCGUCACUCUCCCCUACGAUACUUCUAGACUAAACUUAAUACACGCAUAUUAUUUUAAGGGGAGGCAAGUCGUAACAUGGUAAGUGUACCGGAAGGUGCACUUGGAAAAA